AUGCUAUUUUUGUUCAAAAAUUUGGAAGAACUACCUCUUAGUUUCUUGUGCAAUGAAUCAAGAUGUUUGCAGUAUUAUUGGGUAUCCUUUGUGGGCUACCAACUGGCCCGUAUAAUCUAUAUCUGGGUGGCUUGGUCUCUGCUAUCUUGUCGCGAAAAGAUGCAUACAUUUGGGUGGAUCAUCUCAAAAUUUCGCAACGCCAUAGCAAGCUUGCCGGCCUCUGCUCUGCAGGUUUUCAGUGAAAAUUGUGGUUGGCAUCACUCUUUUGGACUGUUCAAUUUAACAGGAGUAGCUCCUUAG
rnacentral:rRNA from 1 species